rnacentral:tRNA from 1 species
GCGGCGGUAGUUCAAUUGGUAGAGCAGCAGCCUUCCAAGCUGCUUGUUGCGGGUUCGAGUCCCGUCCGCCGCUCCA